CGCAUCUGUGCAUGCAGCAUAUCAAUAAGCGGAGGAAAAGAAACUAACAAGGAUUCCCCUAGUAACGGCGAGUGAAGCGGGAAGAGCUCAAAUUUGAAAUCUUAAAGGGUUUCCCUUUACGAAUUGUAGUUUAAAGAAGUGUUUUCUGUUGAGGUUUUGGUAAAAGUUCUUUGGAAUAGGACAUCAUAGAGGGUGAGAAUCCCGUAUUUGACCUUUACUUUCAACUUUGUGAUACACUUUCAAAGAGUCGGAUUGUUUGGGAAUGCAGUCCAAAAUGGGUGGUAAAUUUCAUCUAAAGCUAAAUAUUGGCGAGAGACCGAUAGCGAACAAGUACCGUGAAGGAAAGAUGAAAAGAACUUUGAAAAGAGAGUUAAACAGUACGUGAAAUUGUCAAAAGGGAAGCGUUUGACACCAGUGUUGUUUUUCUGAAAAUCAAUUAAAGAACUGUUUAUGCUAAGUUGUUUAGACUUUAUCAGCUAUCUGUUUAGUUUUGAGCUUUUCUUUAAUGCACUUUUCAGUUAACAAGUCAACAUCAAUUUCUUUUGCUGUAAAAAAGCUUGAGGAAGGUGGCUUGAGAUUCGUCUUAAGUGUUUAUAGCCUCUUGCCUAUGCAGUCGGAGAGAUUGAGGUCUGCAGCGUAGAUCCUUCGGGGCUAAAUGCAUUUGUGCUAAGUUAUAGCAUUUUAUAGACAACUUGUUGACUAUGAUUUGUCUUGUAGCUUACUCGCUUAUGUUAUUUUACCUACGCUUAGGAUGUUGAGUCGUAGAGCACGCAG
rnacentral:rRNA from 1 species